rnacentral:rRNA from 1 species
CAGCAGCCACGGUAAUACGAACCGUGCGAACGUUAUUCGGAAUCACUGGGCUUAAAGCGCGUGUAGGCGGGCCGCCACGUCGGCUGCUGAAAUCCCCCGGCUCAACCGGGGAAGUGGCACCGAUACGAGCGGCCUGGAGGGGGGUAAGGGGGGACUGGAACUUCCGGUGGAGCGGUGAAGUGCGUUGAGAUCGGAAGGAACGCCCGUGGCGAAAGCGACUCUCUGGUCUGUAACUGACGCUGAGGAGCGAAAGCGUGGGGAGCGAACAGGAUUAGAUACCCCGGUAGUCCCUGUCUCUUAU